UGCCAGCAGCCGCGGUAAUACGUAGGGGGCAAGCGUUGUCCGGAAGUACUGGGCGUAAAGCGCACGCAGGCUGAAUUAUAAGUCGGUAGUCAAAGGCGGAGGCUCAACUUCCGUAUAUCUAUCGAUACUGUAAAUCUAGAGUAUGUGAGAGGGAAGCGGAAUUCCCGGUGUAGCGGUGAAAUGCGUAGAGAUCCGGAGGAACGCCAGUGGAGCAGUCGGCUGCCUGGGCUCGACCUGACGCUGCAGCGCGACAGCGUGUGGAGCAAACCGGAUUAGAUA
rnacentral:rRNA from 1 species